AUGCCCCUUACACGGAGCAGUGUGCUGCUAUCCGGGACCCCGCCUGUCCUUAAGGGGAGGUCACGCUCUGGGAUAAUCAGCUGCCUGAAGCCCAACCGCCAGCAGGGCCAACCAGUGCAGGGCUGGGGCUCGGAGCAGAGGUCCCGGGGCCGGGGAAGCGGGCAGAGAAGGCCCCGGGAAGCUAAGGAAGCUGGAGGCGCCCGGCUCAGUGGGAUCAAACCGGCUGCAGGGCCGCCACCUCCACACGGGGCUCGCGGAGCUGGGGGGGGGGGGGCAUUUCCAGAGAUCACCCCACACCGCCCCGCUCCGCGGCCCGGGAGAAAAGGAGGGCGCCGCAGCAAGGGCGCGGGGGCUGCUCCCGCGGGCCGAGCUCCUCCCCCAAAUGGGUCCCACGCAGCUCUCCCCGCUCCCGAAGGCUUCGGAGCCAGGAGGGGAGGCCGCGGCGAGCCCCCCGCCCAGCGCACCGCUCGCUCGUCCGGGUCCGGCGGGCGGACUCCCCCGCAGCACGCGCGCCGCGGCCCGGCCGGGGCGGGGGGCGACCGAGCCGGCUGGGCCUUCCCCGCGGCUGCCGGCGUCUCUCGCCUCCUCCCGGAGCCUCCCCGGCAGCCGGGCCCGACCGCGGGCGGCGGAGGAAGCGGACGGCGACCCGAGCCGGGAGCCGCGGCGAGCAGGCCCCGGGGCGGAGACUUCUGCGGCCGCGGGCCUCCGUCCGGGCGGGCCCCGCCGCUCCGACCGCCCCCUGCAGGCUCCCGGCGCCAGCGCCAGCGCCAGCGCCCGCCGCUCACCUCCCCGGCGGGCGGGGCUCGCCGCUCGCUCGGCCCAUUGCGCGGAUGGACGCCUCGUGGCCCGAGACGCCUGGCGCAGGCUGACCCAAGGGGGAGGCGGAAGGGCCCGAACGGGAAGCCCCGCCUGGGUCUUCCUGCCUCGCACCCCCGCCCGCCGCGGCCGCUGCGGAGGCACCUACCCGUCCCCAGGGCAUUCUUCCCUCCGUGCCUCUCCACCCCCUCAGCCUACCUCCUGGCAGAGAUCUGA
rnacentral:lncRNA from 1 species